UACGAAGGGAGCUAGCGUUGUUCGGCCUUACAGGGCGUAAAGGGCGCGUCGGCGGUUUAGUAAGUCAGAUGUGAAAGCCCCGGGCUUAACCUGGGAACAGCAUUUGAUACUGCUAGACUUGAGAUCGAAAGAGGAGAGUGGAAUUGCGAGUGUAGAGGUGAAAUUCGUAGAUAUUCGCAGGAACACCAGUGGCGAAGGCGACUCUCUGGUUCGAUACUGACGCUAAGGCGCGAAAGCGUGGGGAGCAAACAGG
rnacentral:rRNA from 1 species